GGGGAAUAUUGCACAAUGGAGGGAACUCUGAUGCAGCGACGCCGCGUGAGUGAAGAAGGUCUUCGGAUCGUAAAACUCUGUCCUUGGUGAAGAAAAGGACGGUAGCCAAGGAGGAAGCCCCGGCUAACUACGUGCCAGCAGCCGCGGUAAUACGUAGGGGGCGAGCGUUGUCCGGAUUUACUGGGCGUAAAGGGUGAGUAGGCGGUUAUAUAUGUCAGGUGUAAAAAGCUAUGGCUUAACCAUAGUAAGCACUUGAAACUGUAUGACUUGAGUGCAGGAGAGGUAAGCGGAAUUCCUAGUGUAGCGGUGAAAUGCGUAGAUAUUAGGAGGAACACCGGUGGCGAAGGCGGCUUACUGGACUGUAACUGACGCUGAGUCACGAAAGCGUGGGUAGCAAAC
rnacentral:rRNA from 1 species